GAGCUUUAUAAGGUUUCAAUGAGACUCCAAUUUUAUCAUUGACUAGUCCUUUUGGAGUAUAGGCCAUGUGGUUUGGGUCUUUCAUUGAGGCAUUACAAAUGGUAUCAGAGUCUAUCCCAACCUAAAAUGUGGGAUUUGAGCCUUGCCACCUACAACGAACAGGCCCAACGAGAACGUCAGGAAUUUAAGGGGGGAGAUUGUGAUACCCCAUAUGAUAAGGAUAAGGGUAGAUGGUGUAUGGAAUCCCACAUAGCUUGGGAAUGAGAAGUUCUUGCUCUUUAUAAGGUUCCAAUGAGGCUUCAAUUGUAUCAUUGACUAGUCCUUUUGGAGUAUAGGUCAUGUGGUUUGGGUCUUCCAU